rnacentral:rRNA from 1 species
CCUACGGGGCGCAGCAGUGGGGAAUAUUGCACAAUGGGGGGAACCCUGAUGCAGCAAUGCCGCGUGAAGGAUGAAGGUUUUCGGAUUGUAAACUUCUUUUGUACGGGACGAAGAAAGUGACGGUACCGUAAGAAUAAGCACCGGCUAACUCCGUGCCAGCAGCCGCGGUAAUACGGAGGGUGCAAGCGUUACUCGGAAUCACUGGGCGUAAAGAGCGCGUAGGCGGGUGGUCAAGUCAGAUGUGAAAUCCUGUAGCUUAACUACAGAACUGCAUUUGAAACUGAUCAUCUAGAGUAUGGGAGAGG